rnacentral:lncRNA from 1 species
AUGGCUGAAGAGUCCAAUUGGAUUAUGACUCUGAUGAGGAGUCCCACUAGGAUUGAGACUUUGGAGGAGAGUCCCACUGGAUUGAGACUCUACUAUUAAUAAAAAAUUAAUUAAUAAUUAGAUUUUUAAUUGACUUAAUUUGAUUGAGUAAAGAGCUUUGGAUCAUGUCUAAUUGAAUUGGAUUCAAUUUGUCUUAGAUUGGG